rnacentral:rRNA from 1 species
GAUGAACGCUGGCGGCGUGCCUAAUACAUGCAAGUCGAACGAACGGACGAUAAGCUUGCUUCUCUGAUGUUAGCGGCGGACGGGUGAGUAACACGUGGAUCACCUACUUAUAAGACUGGUAUAACUUCGGGAAACCGGAUCUAAUACCGGAUAAUAUUUUGAACCGCAUGGUUCAAAAGUGAAUGACGGUCUUUCUGUCACUUAUAGCUGGAUCCGCGCUGCAUUAGCUAGUUGGUAAGGUAACGGCUUACCAAGGCAACGAUGCAUAGCCGACCUGAGAGGGUGAUAGGCGACACUGGAAGUGAGACAGGGACAAGACUACUAAGGGAGGCAGCAGUAGGGAAUGUUACGCAAUGGGCGAAAGUAUGACGGAGCAACGCCGAGUGAGUGACGAAGGCCUUCGGAUCGUAAAGCUCUGUUAUGAGGGAAGAACAGAUGUGGAAGUAAAUGUGGACAGCUUGACGGUACCGAAUCAGAAAGCAACGGCUAACUACGUG